AAAAAAAAAAAAAAACAAAAUGAAUAGAAACAUAAAACCAAACUCUGAUCAAUGAAUAAACCAUUUCUAGUAGUGUACCAACCAAACACCAGAUCUAAAUUGCAACACAGAAUUAGAUGCACGCAGAAUGAGGACAACCAAUACUCACAGACAUGAGAUAUUUCAAAAGAUAGAAUAUUAUAUUAUAUUUAUAAAAACAAUCAGAUACAUAAUAUCAAAAUGCCA
rnacentral:misc_RNA from 1 species